rnacentral:lncRNA from 1 species
CACUUCAUAAAUCUGCUUUCUGUUGAAAUCUAAAAAGUUCAAAAAAUACAUAUGGAUGCAUACUAUUUGGCUGUAAGGUUUGAUGAUGGAAUACCUUUUGAUGUGAGACACACUCAAGGAAGAAAGUCAUAUAUUUCAAGCGAAACAAAUAAGCCAAAGCAAUACUGUUCCCUCAUAGGCUCAAAAAUUGUCUUAUACUGGUUACAAUGGAUCUAAUACAACUAAUGACAUAACAAAGACCAUACAUGAUCACAACUAAUCAAGUUUAAUAGAGAGCAUAUAACACCAAGCAGGACUGUUGAUGAGUUGGGGUGUUGCACUGAAUUCCAUCUUUAUCUAUUUUAUCCCUAUAGAUCAUUGAAUGUAGCUUAAAAUACAAGGUACAUGAGCAAUCCUUAGAGGCUUAAUGAUGUAGUCCUCAUCUCCCCCAUGCAAGCACCUAAAUAGAAAAUGGAUUUUAGUUUGUAUACCUAUAUAGCAAAUAAUUAACUAAUGCAAUACUUGAUAGUUUUUUGUUUACCCACUCCAUAAUUAUUUGAAGGAUGACAUCAGUGCAUGUAAUCACUACUCACUACUGGAAUGUUCUUCGGCUUAUGAGAUUCCCAAGUUCAUAAAUACAGAGUUGGUUAUUACUUUGUAAUGAAUCACAAUAUUUACAUGCACUUGAGUAAAUAUAGAGCAAAAAAACCACAAUUAUGCUAAGAUGAAGAUUAGAAAGGUCCCAAAAAGUACAUACCUUCACUUCUCUAAGAAAAUUAUAGCCAGUCAUAUAUGGCAGGCAGUAUUCAGUGAAAAUCAAGUCUACAUCAUGUUUCUAUAUCCAAAGUUCAUGAUGUGGAAUAUGUCAAAGAUAGUAAGCAACAAAAGUACUUCAAGAAGCCUAUAUGUUCUAUAGUAAACAAUAUCAAAAUAUUGCAUCCAAGAAUUCCAAGGCUUGCAUGGGACCUUCUAGAGAAGUCACUAAAGUUGAAAAUAAUUAGGCGCAUGUAAAGAAGUUUGGAGCAGAGGAAAAUAACGUAACUUCUUAUGAUAUUUUGUAUUCUAUAUAUAGCUAUUUAAUAUCAUGUUCCUCUUAUUGUAUAGCUCAAGGUGUUCCUGAUAAACAUAUAAUAUACUCCCUUUCUCCUAUAAUAUAAGAACAUUUUCUAAACUGUUUAAGCUUGAAAAAUGUCCUCAUAUUAUGGGACGGAGGGAGUAAGUGUUUGUAUCAUAUCCAAGGUAUACCUGUAUCAACAUUCUCUAUUGGCAAGAAAAUUGUGUAUAUAAAACUUUAGGAAAAUAAAUCAUAGGGUGUUGCACAAUGAUUCUUACAAUUCAUAAGAACCACAAUACCUUGAAUGAGAAAUAUCUUAGGACUCUCGAUGCAACAAGGCCAUCAACAUGGGAAUCAUCCAUGACGAGAACAUGGGGACUUUCAAUGCCAUCAUGCUAAACAUAAAAGUUCUAUAUGUUACUAAACUUCGACGUAGGGUGGUUUGUCCCCUAGCAAAAGAUAUAGG